rnacentral:ncRNA from 1 species
CUGAACGUGGCGUAAAGGGUGACGUAAACCCAGAUGGGUUAUGUGCCCAUUCCCUGCCAUCCCAAUGGCCAGGUGAACGCCCACAUCAG